CCUACGGGGGGCUGCAGUGGGGAAUAUUGGACAAUGGGGGGAACCCUGAUCCAGCCAUGCCGCGUGUGUGAAGAAGGCCCUCGGGUUGUAAAGCACUUUCAGUGAGGAAGAACGCCUGGUGGUUAAUACCCAUCAGGAAAGACAUCACUCACAGAAGAAGCACCGGCUAACUCCGUGCCAGCAGCCGCGGUAAUACGGAGGGUGCGAGCGUUAAUCGGAAUUACUGGGCGUAAAGCGCGCGUAGGUGGCUUGAUAAGCCGGUUGUGAAAGCCCCGGGCUCAACCUGGGAACGGCAUCCGGAACUGUCAAGCUAGAGUGCAGGAGAGGAAGGUAGAAUUCCCGGUGUAGCGGUGCAAUGCGUAGAGAUCGGGAGGAAUACCAGUGGCGAAGGCGGCCUUCUGGACUGACACUGACACUGAGGUGCGAAAGCGUGGGUAGCAAACAGGAUUAGAUACCCGGGUAGUC
rnacentral:rRNA from 1 species